ACAAAUUUCCUGAAAUACAUAAUUUUGAGUUUGGAGAAAUUUUGAUAAUUUUUGAUGACCGUGUCUCUAUAUCACAACCUUUUCUUUUUACAUUUUCAGGAGAACAAUUUC
rnacentral:sRNA from 1 species